AGAUUGAACGCUGGCGGCAUGCCUAACACAUGCAAGUCGAACGGGAGUAGCAAUACUCUGGUGGCGGACGGGUGAGGAAUACGUAGGAAUUUGCCCUUAAGCGGGGGAUAACCCGGGGAAACCCGGAUUAAUACCGCAUGACCUCGAAAGAGCAAAGUGGGGGAUCGCAAGACCUCACGCUUUUGGAGAAGCCUACGUCGGAUUAGCUAGUUGGUGAGGUAAUGGCUCACCAAGGCGACGAUCCGUAACUGGUCUGAGAGGACGAUCAGUCACACCGGAACUGAGACACGGUCCGGACUCCGUACGGGAGGCAGCGAGGUGGGGAAUAGUUAGGACAAGUGGGCGCAAGCCU
rnacentral:rRNA from 1 species